GACGAACGCUGGCGGCGUGCUUAACACAUGCAAGCGGACCGGAAAGGCCCAGCUUUCGUGGGUUGCCGGAGUGGCGAACGGGUGGGUAACACGUGGGUAACUUGCCUUCGACCUUGGGUUAACUUCAGGAACUUGGGGCAAUAACCGGAUGGGCGCUCCUGCUGCAUGGGGGGGGUUGGGAAGUUUGGGCGGUUGGGGAUGGACUCGCGGCCUAUCAGUUUGUUGGUGGGGUAGCGGCUUACCAAGGCUCUGACGGGUAGCCGGACUGGGAGGGUGGCCGGCCACAUUGGGACUGGGGUCCGGCCCCAGCUCCUACGGGGGGCAGCAGUGGGGAAUAUUGCACAAAGGGCGGAAACCCGAUGCAGCAGCGCCGCGUGCGGGAUGACGGCCUUCGGGUUGUAAACCGCUUUCGGCUGUGACGGAGCGUGAGUGGCGGUAAUGGGUAUAGAAACACCGGCUAACUACGGU
rnacentral:rRNA from 1 species